rnacentral:rRNA from 1 species
GCAGCCGCGGUAAUACGGAGGAUGCGAGCGUUAUCCGGAUUUAUUGGGUUUAAAGGGUGCGUAGGCGGGCUGUUAAGUCAGCGGUGAAAGUUCCCGGCUCAACCGGGUCAGUGCCGUUGAUACUGACGGUCUUGAAUGCGGUCAAGGUAGGCGGAAUGUGAUGUGUAGCGGUGAAAUGCAUAGAUAUGUCACAGAACUCCGAUAGCGAAGGCAGCUUGCCGGGCCUGCAUUGACGCUGAGGCACGAAAGCGUGGGGAUCAAACAGGAUUAGAUACCCC